GACGAACGCUGGCGGCGUGCUUAACACAUGCAAGUCGAGCGGUAAGGCCCUUUCGGGGGUACACGAGCGGCGAACGGGUGAGUAACACGUGGGUGACCUGCCCUCAGCUCUGGGAUAAGCCUGGGAAACCGGGUCUAAUACUGGAUAUGACUCCAUGACGCAUGUUGUGGGGUGGAAAGCCUUGUGCGGCUGAGGAUGGGCCCGCGGCCUAUCAGCUUGUUGGUGGGGUGANGGCCUACCAAGGCGACGACGGGUAGCCGGCCUGAGAGGGCGACCGGCCGGCACUGGGACUGAGACACGGCCCAGACUCCUACGGGAGGGCAGCAGUGGGGAAUCUUGCGCAAAGUGGGCGAAAGCCUGACGCAGCGACGCCGCGUGAGGGAUGACGGCCU
rnacentral:rRNA from 1 species